rnacentral:misc_RNA from 1 species
CAACCCUCAAGCACCGCUUGGUUUUGGGGCCCCACGGCACACGUGGGCCCUUAAAGGUAGUGGCGGACCCUCCCGGAGCCUCCUUUGCGUAGUAACUUUACGUCUCGCACUGGGAUCCGGAGGGACUCUUGCCGUAAAACCCCCAAAUUUUUUACA